rnacentral:rRNA from 1 species
CGAUUAUACCUAUCACUCUCCCUGUCGUAGGGUCCGUCAAAAUACCUUGAUGAUUUGUAUCAACUCGUCGGGUACAGUUUAAAGUUAGUUCUCAUUCAAAUGUAUUAAAUAUACAAUUACAUAUAUAAUAAUUAUACAAGCGGGGACUGAAAAGUUAAAUAAUAGGAUUAACACGAUUAUAUCAUUGUUUAAGUAAUUUUUUAAAUCUUUGUGAUACUUGAGUCAUGGGCUUCUUUCAAGCACGAAAAGACUAUCUGGUAUAACAAGUCUUCUGUGACUACAUGAAAGCUCUGGAUUGAAUUCCCAACUGUGAAUACUAAUACAGCUACUCAGUUUACUUCAAGUCAGGUCAGAACUUACAUACUUUCUUUUCAAACGCUAACGACUAUACUAAAGACGGGGACUUUUAGAACUGCUCGUCAUGAAUAAAAGACGUAUGUUACAAGUCUUACUCCUCAGACUAAGAUUACUUGCUAUGGAACUUCCUCCUGUUCAACCUCGACACCUUGUGCCCUAAUCUUCAAAAACACUUCUGUGUAGACAAGUUUACAAUUUCGGCUAACAACCAUACUUCAAAAGUAGUUUCCUUCUUCGUAUACUGAAGAUGUUAUGUAUAAGAGCCCACGAACCAAAGUCAUAAGCCUUACCACUAUUAAUAUAAUUAACGUUACCGCAUGUCUGUUACGUCCUUAAUUAAACGGUUGCUCGCCCUUAGUGGUUCUUAUGAUUUAUACGUUGAUGAUCUACACCAACGUUCCGUUGUGAGUCCCAUGUAGAAUUACUUUUAAGUCUUACCAUACAGUUUCAAAAAUCCCUCCUUGUGUUAGUAAGGGAACAUCUUAGAACAUCGCUCUUCUUCGUGGACGUAAGUGUAGUUGUAUAACUGUUCGGUUAUUCUCUAAAUUAUUUGUUAGAAGCCCUCUUAUUACAAAGUGAUUGCUCCCAAUUAAGAUAUCAUCGUCCAAAGAUACCGAGUUGUUUCUUUCAUGGUAAGACAUUCUCCUUCAACGCUUGACAUACAAGAGUCUAACGAUCACUUUGUGAAGUCCUGCUGUAACGAUUCUGUGGCCUCUUGAAGGCACUAUACUAUCGUGACCUACUAUCUAAACGAAAAACACGUGUCCAACUACUACUGUUGUCCGAAUUCAGUGAUUACACCUGAUGACCUUCCUCAUCUAGUAAUAUAUUAGUGAAACCUCUACGUUAUUGAAAACUGUGAUGAAUACCUUGUUUGUAGAUGUUUUACAGUAAACCAUACAAACAUCCUCAAUCAUUGGUGAAACUUUCACAUCAAAAGCGACCUCACAAAAACUGAUUACUCUUCCUUCUCUUAAAUACAACCCGAAAAUUCGUUAAACAACGAUACUACCCUCCUUUUGUGGCUCAAUGAUAAGAAUGUCUAAUCCGAUCUCGUUAACCUUUGCGUCAGUUCUUUCUCAAAGGAGUACGUCUUGUAUCUACCACGUUUACCGUGCAGGACUUCUCCCGAGUACUUGAAGAACCACGACACAUAUCGUUCGUGUUUUGAAAACGGCUACUAAAGGUAUUCAAUCACUUGGUGUCCGACUGAUAUCUUCUCAAACUUCUACGCACCCCAAAAAAAUGGCAGUUUAUACCAAACGUCCUUGUAGGAAAGUACUGAUCUCGGAUGCUCACAUCCGUGUUUACCCGCUUUGGUAUAAAAUCGUUUCAAAAGACACGGUUUUACACAUCGUGAGUUGCAUCACUCACACGUUUGAAAUACGACUUCUAUGUAUGACAUACGUUAAGAAGUUAUUUACGUAAGUAAUGUGUCAUGUGAUUCGAAUAUCUGCUAGCACUCUCAACACUACGUCUACGACUUUCCUUCUUGUUUGCCUUUUAUUAAUUCCAGGUAAAACCUAUAGGUUACCUCUUCGUACGAAGUCAAUAGAUAUGACGCUUCCAAAUAUUAGAUAAGUUCUUCCUCGAGUAAUUCAGUUGUAUUAUGGAACACGAAGGAUCGAACCUCCUUGUAUUAAAAAAACAGUUCGUGCAGGUCCAGCUCAGAUCCCUUAGCACCAGCUUUCAAUAUAUGUUUUAGUUUCAUCUGCUCAGAUAACCUAUAAUGUGAACACUUACACCUGAAAUGCUUGUAAAACCACAAGUAACAUCGGUGCAGUAUCGCUAAAAACACUUGUCUCCACAGACGUUUUAGGGGCUAACAGUAUAUUACUUCGCCACCUGUUUCGUUCGGUCCAGUAGAUGAAAGUUGUUAUUCAACCUUUUCAUAUAGACGCUGUACUUGUUCCUUAGAUCUAGUAAAUCCGUGUUCGAUAAUAUAAAACGACGUUAUCUAUAUCACUUACUUCGACUUUGACUAGGUCUACGAAAACGUUACCGUUUCAGAUUAAAAUGAGCGACGUUCUACCUUAAUGUACUCGUGUUUGAAAGUUUCUGUUGAUGUACGGUCCAGCCUAUACCUAGUUAGGGACUUGUACUUCAUUCAUGUGUCAGACCAUAAGUUGUCCUUCUACUGCUUCAACCACUAAGUACAUAAGUUUAUCAACUAUGGCGUUCUUUAGAGAGAUAAGGCCAUAGAAGUUAAGAACGUGGACGAUAUUACUUCUUCUUGUCAUCUGGUAGUUUAUUUUCCAUGUACAGAUCGUACCUUCGUUUGUAGUUCUUCUUCUUCUUUGCACCCUUUUUUGGACUGGGCUUCUCGUUUGUUGGACCACCACACAAUCCCCAACAGGUCAGUUCCUUCAUC